rnacentral:rRNA from 1 species
UACGGAGGGUGCAAGCGUUAUCCGGAUUCACUGGGUUUAAAGGGUGCGUAGGUGGGCAGUUAAGUCAGUGGUGAAAUCUUCGGGCUUAACCCGGAAACUGCCAUUGAUACUAUCUGUCUUGAAUACCGUGGAGGUGAGCGGAAUAUGUCAUGUAGCGGUGAAAUGCUUAGAUAUGACAUAGAACACCAAUUGCGAAGGCAGCUCACUACACGAAUAUUGACACUGAGGCACGAAAGCGUGGGGAUCAAACAGG